rnacentral:tRNA from 1 species
GAGAGGUUGGCUCAGCUGGUUGGCACAUCUCGUUUACACCGAGAGGGUCCGCGGUUCGAAGCCGUGACCGCCCACCA